UCUAUUGGUUUUAGAAACUGA
ensembl:piRNA 21ur-8670 ncRNA